rnacentral:rRNA from 1 species
UACGUAGGGGGCAAGCGUUGUCCGGAAUUACUGGGCGUAAAGGGCGUGUAGGCGGCCUGUCAAGUCUAGUGUGAAAUACCUGGGCUCAACCCAGGUUUUGCAUUGGAAACUGGCGGGCUUGAGGGCAAGAGAGGUAAGUGGAAUUCCUAGUGUAGCGGUGAAAUGCGUAGAUAUUAGGAGGAACACCAGUGGCGAAGGCGACUUACUGGCUUGACCCUGACGCUGAGGCGCGAAAGCGUGGGGAGCGAACAGG